rnacentral:rRNA from 1 species
AUACGUAGGGGGCGAGCGUUGUCCGGAAUGAUUGGGCGUAAAGGGCGCGUAGGCGGCCCGGUAAGUCUGGAGUGAAAGUCCUGUUUUUAAGAUGGGAAUUGCUUUGGAUACUGUCGGGCUUGAGUGCAGGAGAGGUAAGUGGAAUUCCCAGUGUAGCGGUGAAAUGCGUAGAGAUUGGGAGGAACACCAGUGGCGAAGGCGACUUACUGGACUGUAACUGACGCUGAGGCGCGAAAGUGUGGGGAGCAACCAGGAUUAGAUACCCUGGUAGUCCACACUGUAAACGAUGAAUGCUAGGUGUAGGGGGUAUCGACCCCUUCUGUGCCGCAGUCAACACAAUAAGCAUUCCGCCUGGGGAGUACGGCCGCAAGGUUGAAACUCAAAUGAAUUGACGGGG